CUACGGGAGGCAGCAGUGAGGAAUAUUGCGCAAUGGGGGAAACCCUGACGCAGCGACGCCGCGUGGAUGAUGAAGGCCUUCGGGUCGUAAAAUCCUGUCAGAAGGAAAGAAAUGUAUGGUAGCUAAUAUCUGCCAUACUUGACGGUACCUUCAAAGGAAGCACCGGCUAACUCCGUGCCAGCAGCCGCGGUAAUACGGAGGGUGCAAGCGUUGUUCGGAAUUACUGGGCGUAAAGCGCGCGUAGGCGGCUGUUUAAGUCAGAUGUGAAAGCCCAUGGCUUAACCAUGGACGUGCAUUUGAUACUGGGCAGCUUGAGUACUGGAGGGGGUGGUGGAAUUCCCGGUGUAGAGGUGAAAUUCGUAGAUAUCGGGAGGAAUACCGGUGGCGAAGGCGACCACCUGGCCAGAUACUGACGCUGAGGUGCGAAAGCGUGGGGAGCAAACAGGAUUAGAUACCCUCGUAGUC
rnacentral:rRNA from 1 species